rnacentral:rRNA from 1 species
CUAACAAGGAUUCCCCUAGUAACGGCGAGUGAAGCGGGAAGAGCACAAAUUUUAAAUCUACCUGGUUUUACUAGGUCGAAUUGUAAUUUAAAGAAACGUUUUUAAUGUUCCGGGUUGGUUUAAAUCCUUUGGGAUAAGGUAUCAUGGAGGGUGAGAAUCCCGUGUAUAUCAACCGCUGGGAUGUUAUUAAUACGUUCUCUAAGAGUCGAGUUGUUUGGGAAUGCAGCUCUAAAUGGGUGGUAAAUUUCACCUAAUGCUAAAUAUAAGCGAGAGACCGAUAGCGAACAAGUACCGUGAGGGAAAGAUGAAAAGAACUUUGAAAAGAGAGUUAAAUAGUACGUGAAAUUGUUGAAAGGGAAACGAUUGAAGUCAGUCAUGCCGGCGGGAAUCAAUUUUGAGGAAGGGGGAUUUUUUUGAACCUAACUUUGAAAUGCACUUCUUCGCUUGGCAGGUUAGCGUCGAUUUUGAACGUCAUAAAAUGAUUGGGGGAAGGUAGCUCUUUCGGGAGUGUUAUAGCCCUUAAUUAAUGUGAUGUUUGGGAUCGAGGAUUGCAACGGAUACCUUUUAGGCUAGCCACCUAGCCUCUGAUUCGAUGUCGAGUUAUAGACAGCAUGCUGACUAUGAUUUGAUUAUUGGUCAAAAGGUUAGAGUGAGCAUAAAUUCGUUAAGGACGC